UUGAGUUAAUUAGCGAUCAAAUAACUAAUUAAAUCUCUCAUAAAUACUGAGUCCAAAUUCGAUGGGCAAUCAGGCAUCAGAAUUCAUCGAUAUGUAACCCUGAUCGAAAAGUCCCAACCAGUGGGACUCUUGACCCCGGUACCCAUAAUGUGUGGAACUCGUGAUCAGAGAAUUCUGAUUCUCGAUCAUUGAGUCCCAAACAUGUAGAA
rnacentral:lncRNA from 1 species